rnacentral:rRNA from 1 species
AGAGUUUGAUCAUGGCUCAGGACGAACGCUGGCGGUGUGCUUCAUACAUGCAAGUCGAACGAGGUAGCAAUACCUAGUGGCGGACGGGUGAGUAACGCGUGGGAAUCUGCCUUAAAAUGGGGGAUAGCUGGCCGAAAGGCCAAUUAAUACCGCAUAAGCGUAUAUCUCGACAGAGUUAUACGUAAAAGGAGUAAUUCGUUUUAAGAUGAGCCCGCGUGCGAUUAGCUAGUUGGUGGGGUAAAGGCCCACCAAGGCGACGAUCGCUAGGUGGUCUGAGAGGAUGAUUACCCACAAUGGAACUGAGACACGGUCCAUACUCCUACGGGAGGCAGCAGUAGGGAAUUUUACGCAAUGGGCGAAAGCCUGACGUAGCGACACCGCGUGAGCGAAGAAGCCCUUUGGGGUGUAAAGCUCUGUCGGCUGGAACGAAAAAAAUGACGGUACCAGCAGAGGAAGCAUCGGCUAACUACGUGCCAGCAGCCGCGGUAAGACGUAGGAUGCGAGCGUUGUCCGGAUUUAUUGGGCGUAAAGAGUUCGUAGGCGGUUUGUUAAGUCUGAUGUUAAAGAUCAGGGCCCAACCCUGGGAGUGCAUUGGAUACUGGCAGACUGGAGUGUGGUAGAGGUAAGUGGAAUUCCUGGUGUAGCGGUGAAAUGCGUAGAUAUCAGGAAGAACACCGGUGGCGUAGGCGACUUACUGGGCCAUAACUGACGCUGAGGAACGAAAGCCAGGGGAGCAAAUGGGAUUAGAUACCCCAGUAGUCCUGGCUGUAAACGAUGGAUACUAGGCGUAGCGGGUAUCGACCCCUGCUGUGCCGCAGCUAACGCGAUAAGUAUCCCGCCUGAGUAGUACGGCCGCAAGGUUGAAACUCAAGGAAUUGACGGGGGCCCGCACAAGCGGUGGAACAUGUGGUUCAUUCGAAGCAACGCGAAGAACCUUACCAGGGCUUGACAUUUCAGGAAGUUUUCG